CCCUAAUUGCUGCCAACACUGCCUGCUCUUUGUGCAAUAAAAAAAAUAAAUGCAUACUAUCUUCAUCCUCAUUCUCGCAUAAAGCACAAGUUUUUGUGCAAUUUACCCCUCUGUCUUGAAGUCGGACUCUUGUUGGAAGAGCAUUUCUGCACGAUCUCCAUAGAAAAGUUUUCACCUUAGGAGGUACCUUAAGAUUCCAAAGGAGUACCCAAUUUCCAUCACAACGGUGAGUACUCAAAUCCACAUGUUGACUGAGACUGAUA
rnacentral:lncRNA from 1 species